GUCGACCGGCCGGACACGUAUGUGCUCGGCCCACAAGUGGAGGCUCCGAUCUCCCACCUGACCGUCCUCCGGGGCGGCGGGUCAUCCGGUCAGACGGCCACCAUCGUUCCGUACGGACGAUGGAGCCGUCCGAAAGCGCGCCCCGCGAUCGUCGCGGCGGUGCUCCGGUUGCCAUGGAGCCCCGCCUGUGAUCGUCCGGGGCAUUUUUU
rnacentral:ncRNA from 1 species